UUUUUUUUUUUGCAUCAGGUUUCUGGAUGAUUUGUAGUUCGGUCGGUGCCGUGGCGGAGGGUUGUCUUGUGGUUUGUCCGGAGAGGGAGCACACCGGAGAAGCGAUCUCGUCCCCAUUGGUCAGGUACCCUUCGUCUCGCUCUCGUUUGACCUCUCCAAGAAAGUUAUAUAGGUAGAGUAAGCUAAUUGUGUUUUCCGGGUGUUGUAUAGGAUACUACGGUUAAAGAUUGUUCUCAUUUAUGUUGAUGUUGCUGAUUAUCAAAUCAAUGGCUGUUAUCUAGAGUGCUUCUCCUUCAGAUUUGAUGUACUAUGUGUUCCAGCUUAUACUGUAUAUGAUUUCUUUCCAUGGUUUUAACUAAUUAUGGAUAUGUAUCUAAUUGGUAUGUUAUUUUGGUCAGUCCGCGUGUUAUUUUGGCAUCAACGAAUUACUCACCUAGCAUUUAUUCUGCUAUAUGGAAACAAUCGGUGCCUAUUUCUUUUUGAUCUGAACUCAGACAUAAUUCUUCUAUAUGUAAACAAUCAUUGGUUCUUUCUUUUCUAUCUAAACUGAGAAAUAACUCUAAUCAGUUGUUUUUUUAUUUACUGUCUAAGUAUCAUUCUUACCUAAAACUUGUGCCAAAACUGUUUUUUCUUUCAUAUGUGCCAUAGAUUAUCCAACCCCCUCUGCUUCUGUACAAUUUUGUCGACUUAUCUGGCAUUUUCUCGACAGUGUGGAACCAGCACAUCUACCUGCGAAUCUCCAGGCUAUGGUACCAGCAGGGUGGCUUCGAUGAUGGCCCUAUCAAGAGUAUACAUAUGGUCAUAACCGACGAAAAGGUGAGUGGUUAUUUUGUUUCCUUUUUUCCUCUUAACAAAGCAUAUACUGUUUACACGAGGGGUGGAUGGCUCUUCUAUACAUUGUUGUCUCCUUAGGAGAUCCAAGAGCUUCUCUUGGUUGCGUAUAAUCUAAAUAGGCUAAAUUGUAGCUUUUUAAUGCUGAUGGACUGUAUCUUUUGGCACUGCUCUCUAGGGUUAUAUGCUUCUUGCUGGUUGUUUAACAUAUUCUGCAUGUGUGCUCUUCUAUGGGGAAAUCAUGCCAACGAGACGGUGCCUAAUGAGGUCAUAGACAUGUUUGUGGACAGCUUUGCAUGAGAGAAAUUUAUACAAGUGUGCCAGGAUCCAUGUGAGGUUCCCUGUAACAAUUUUGAGGGCAGUGGAAGGCACGUAUACGUUAUGGUUCACUAGAUCAACAAUUGUCCAUCACCUUGAGGGUGUUCCAUUUGGUCAUGUCUGCUAACAUGCUUAGUUGCUUCUUCUUUAUUAUGUUUCUGCUCCAAUAACUUUCUCAUAUUAUAUCACUUUUGUUAUUAACCAUUGUAUCGAAUGGCUGCGCUUUUGAUUUCAAGCUUCCUGUCGAGUGACCUUUUUUUAAUCUAAUGAACGAGUUGAGAUCGAUUAUGCCUUAUAGCUUCAUGCUGGUACUGAGUGGUAUUAUGUCUUACUUCUAUGACAUUUGAAUGUUUCUCUUUCGCUGUAUGAAUACAUAUGAUAUACAUGUAUUGCUACUGGCUAAGCAUUCCCUAGUUGACCAAAAACGUUUGGACCGACACCCUCUCGUCAAGGCGCGAUCCCGAUCUAGUAUAUAAUAUAAAGUCAUACGGCCAAACCGAUACAGGGAUAUGAGAAGAUCCUGGUACAAAGCAGAUCAGACUUAGAAAAAACAAUAGAACAGGAGAAUUCACAUCCUACCACAAAGUAACCUAGAGUACCGACAGAAGACGAAACAACGCCUCCAGAGGAGAAAUCAUCGGUCCUAGUUAUGCAACACUAACAACCAAGUUGUCGCCAAGCCUGCCUGCCUACGGACAUCGAGGAAUAGGAGUGUGCCAAUGAGGACCCGUGCAGAAGAUAAGGAGGUAAGUGCAACCAUUCCACGCCAGCGCCGAAGAAGCUUCAAGGCAGGGUCUGAAAAUGUCCGUCGAUGGCGGCGCGGCACGUCGGAGACAACCUGGGCUCCACUACAAUGCUCCCGGGAGAGAAACGACAACAACGUGUCGCCGUUGCCGAGACCGAAGAAACGGUCGGGGGGUUUCACCUAGAGCCCUGGCCUAGAGAGAUGGACCGCGGCAACGCCCCCAAGAGGGAUACGACACCCCAUGGGUAUCGCCUGCCGCGCAUCUUUAAUCAUCUUGGCAUUGGUUGGGCCUGGCCCAGCAGAAGGAGUUGUUGGGUCACUCACGGGGUCCUCAACUCCUCAUGUAAAUGUGGUGGACUCUCCCCUCAAAAAUUGAGUCUUGGCAAGUCCAGCCGGCGGAUCCAUUUCCAUUCCCACCUCCACUCCCCCCACACGCUCUCCCACGCUCCUCGCCCGCCGGCCGGCCAUGGCGGCGAUGCCGAUGCCCAGCCCCCGAUCUCUCCUGCUGCUCCUCCUCCUCGCCACCCCCUUCCUCCUCCUCCCCCUCGCCGCCUCAGCCCCCACCUCCAACCCGGACAUCGACCUGGAGUACCUCAUCAAGAACGCCGGCCUCGACGACUCCACCCCUGCCACCACCGCCACCGACCCCGAGGACGACGGCGCUCCGGACUUCCCCGGCCUCGACGCCGACUACAAAGACGAGGACGAGGACCUCUUCGGCGACGACGACGGGCCGGAGGAGUCCUCCCACCCCUCGGCGGCCGACGAGGCCCACGUGCUCCUCCUCACCGCCGCCAACUUCACCGCCGUCCUCGCCGCCCGCCGCCACGUCAUGGUCGAGUUCUACGCGCCCUGGUGCGGCCACUGCCGCGCGCUCGCCCCCCACUACUCCGCCGCCGCGACGCACCUCGCCGAGCAGGGGGUCGACGUCGCGCUGGCCAAGGUGGACGCCACCGAGGACCACGACCUGGCGCAGGCGCACGGCGUGCAGGGCUACCCCACCCUCCUCUUCUUCAUCGACGGCGUGCCCAGGGACUACUCCGGCGAGAGGACCAAGUGAGCAAUUUCUGCAGAUCCCCAAUUCCCUCCCUGUUCCAGCUCCGCAGCUGCUGAGAAUUUUGUUUUUGCUUUGCUGCAGGGACGCCAUUGUGGCUUGGAUCGGCAAGAAGCUGGGCCCUGCGGUGCAGAACCUCACCACCGUCGACGAGGCCGAGAAGAUCGUCACCGGCGACGACGUGGCCGUGCUCGCAUUCCUCGACCACCUCUCGGUACGAAAUGAAUGCGCCUUCUCCAGUGGCAGCAAAGUCAACCAAACCCAAAAUUGGUUCAAUUGCAAACCCAUGUUACCAACAUUGACACAAAAUUGGUUCAAUUGCAACCCAUGUGACCCAGAUUGACCCAAGAAUACAAUGCUUGAAUUGUGGCCAAACCGAGAACAUGUGGCCAUGUUACCCAGAUUACAGUGCACCUAGUUUUCCCAAUGCCUUGAUUCUUCUGCUUGCUCACUACUAGAUGAAAUGUCAACCUGCAUUUGUCUUUCCAUGUUCUGAGAACAUAUCCGAGAUGCGCUCGUAUGUUUAGCUAUCGGUACGCAAGGCACCUAGCACCUUCUCCAAGCACAGCAAAGUCAAGCAACCCAAACUGCUUCAGUUGCAUCCCAUGUUACCCAGAUUGACCCAGAAUACAAUGCUUGAAUCGCAACCGAGCCGCCCAUGUGGUCAUGUUACCCAAAAUUACAAUGCACCUAUUUUUCCCAAUGCCCCGAUUCUCUUGCUUGCUCACUUCUAGUAGUAGAUAAAAUGUCAACCUGCAUGCUCUGUUUCCAUGUGCUGAGAACAAAUCUGAGAUGCGCUUGUAUGUUUUAAUGUUUACCUGAAUUGGACACUACAUAAAAACAGUAUGGUGAUGGAUCUUAAUUGCUCUGUCAACAAAUGCUGUAGGGUGCGCACAGCGAUGAGCUUGCUGCCGCCUCGAGGCUGGAAGAUACAAUCAGCUUCUACCAGACCACCAGCCCUGACGUAGCCAAGCUUUUCCACAUUGACCCGGAGGCAAAGCGCCCAUCAGUAGUCCUGCUCAAGAAAGAGGAGGAGAAGUUGACCGUUUUUGGUAUCUUCGCCUCCAAGUUGCUUUAGCUUUCAGCACCAGCCUUUCCUUUCCAUUUGUACACAGGGUUUGGUUUGACCAUUCAAUUGAAUAAUAAUGUACUGUGUGUCAUGCAGAUGGCGAGUUCAGAGCUUCUGCGAUUGCCGAGUUUGUUUCGGCCAACAAAAUCCCAUUGAUCACCACACUCACACAGGAGACCGCCCCUGCGAUUUUCGACAAUCCGAUCAAGAAGCAAGUAUGUCCUACUGUCUGCCAUGGGGUUUAAUUUUCAUCGUGUUGUCGGCCCAUGUAUUACUCCUUUGCUGAUCUGCUGUCUUCUAAUUUCAAAAUCAGAUUUUGCUAUUUGCUGUUGCGAAGGAGUCCUCAAAAUUUCUGCCCAUCAUUAAGGAAACAGCAAAGUCAUUCAAGGGAAAGGUAUUUUUUUCUGCUGAUCGGACCGGUGUUUCAUGAACUUCUUUCCUUGUCGUGUUCACGUUUUGUACUCAAAUCCAAGCCAUCACUUAUUUCCUUUCUAACUCGUGUGUUUGCUGAGGUGGAGUCUCACUAAGCACUGACAUGACCUGUGUCUCAAAUGCAGCUUUUAUUUGUCUUUGUGGAGCGUGACAACGAGGAGGUUGGUGAACCUGUCGCCAAUUACUUUGGAAUUACUGGAAACGAGACCACGGUAACACCUCUUUUCUUUUUGUCAUGUUUGUCUAUGCAUUGAUUUAUUGCACAGAAACAGCAUGCAGCAACUUGACUUCUGAUUUUGUACAUUCUGAUUCGAUUACUUUGCAGGUUCUUGCUUACACUGGGAAUGAAGACGCUAAGAAGUUCUUCUUCAGUGGUGAAAUAUCACUGGACACCAUUAAGGUAAUUGCUGAAAAUACUUUUGCAAAUUCAGUACCAGAUUGGAAGUAAAAUCAUAAGAAUAUGGUCAACAGUUGCAAGAGAAUAUAGUAGUAUGUUAGCAAUAUAACGUGUUUUUGCUUUUUGUUAUUUGAUUUAUGGUAUAUAUAGUCUUUUGGUUAGCAAUAUAUAGUCUUUUUUAUACCACUGUAUAUUUCUAAUGGUAUCAAGUAUCAUUGUUCAAGAAAGUACAAUGUUCCUUAUAAAAAUCUUUCUACUUCUUGUUAAUACCCAGGAAUUUGCUCAAGAUUUCCUGGAGGACAAGCUCACACCAUCCUACAAGUCUGACCCAGUACCUGAAUCUGUGAGUCGAGAAGAAUUAUCUGAUAUCUACUUUCUUUAUCAUUAUUUACACGAGAAUGAGACAUUCUUUGUGUUCCCAUGCAGAAUGAUGAGGACGUCAAAGUUGUUGUUGGCAAGAGUCUAGAUCAAUUAGUUUUGGAUGAGUCAAAGGAUGUCCUUUUGGAGGUAAGUUCAGUUCUUGCCAGGUAGGCAUUUGAGAAGAUAAAAAUUGUGUGUUGUCCUUAACGCCGCGGCAUUUUGGACGCAGGUAUAUGCACCAUGGUGUGGGCAUUGUCAGUCGCUGGAGCCUAUCUACAACAAGCUGGCCAAGUAUCUCCGUGGCAUCGACUCCCUUGUAAUAGCCAAAAUGGACGGCACAAACAAUGAGCAUCCUCGUGCCAAGGUCUGUGUCGCUGUCUGUUGACUUCUUCAAACUGGAUAUUACUUGCUAGACUAGUCUGAGUGCCGGGCCAUCAACAGUCAUAGAACCUCUACAUACAUUUUAUAUGAAACAAUACUAGUUAUAAAACGUGCAGAAGUUAUUUUUAACACUUUCUUCACUUAAAUGUGCAGUUGUGAUUGUUUAUGGUGCACAGAAAGUAUAGGUCCAUUAUCUGUCUGCCGCCAUCUAGUAUAUGUGCUGAAUAUAUUUAUUCAUCACCUAUUUAUCCAUAUGCUACAGUAUCAUGGUACAGUCUGUCUAAUGGGUUAAAGAGGUAACCCCGCCCGUGCGUAGCAAAGUGUUAAUAGGCUAUUGCCAGAUUUGGUUAGGAUGAUAGAGAUAGAGAUAGAGCUCGAGUCUUGUGGAACAAGUCGAGUUGAGCCUCAGUGACGAACAGUGUCGCCAGGUUGUUGAAGGAUAGUGCCAUAUCCCCCCUGGUUAUCUCGCUGAGUUCAAGGUCCGUAACAUCUUGAAAUAGUGCAACAGUAUUACGAUCACGACUGUUACGCAAAGGAUCUGAUUCCCUGAUACAGAAACUUUAAAGUUGCCUUUCAUUUAGCCCUGUUUCCCUUUUGAUGAACUUUUCUUAAAUUUAUACAUGGAAAACUACCAUGUAGACUUUUCCAGAAUACGGAUGGAACUGACACUUGCUUCCUGUUACAUUACAGCCCGAUGGAUUCCCCACGAUACUCUUCUAUCCAGCUGGGAAGAAAAGCUUUGAGCCUGUAAGUUACUUGAUUGACGUUUUGCUUUUUAUUUAGCGACGCAUCUGCUAGUAUGUGUUGUCUUUCAGUUGGCAGCAAUAACACUAUCCUCAGCUAUCUCCUUGACACGCUUUUGGCAGUGAUACCAUCUACGCUUCGUUAGAACUGUCUCUAGACUCCUUAAUAAAACUCUUCAGUGAUACCAUCUACGCUUUGUAGAUAUGUAAGGAGAACUAGCUAAGCUCAGAGGUGCUGAAAUUGGCAUCCACUGAUUCAGUUUCUUCGCUUUCAUUUGGCUAAAUAAAACUCUUGCAGAUAACUUUCGAGGGGGACCGGACGGUGGUGGAGAUGUACAAGUUCCUCAAGAAGCAUGCCGCCAUCCCUUUCAAGCUGAAGCGCCCGGACUCGUCAGCGGCACGGACCGACGGCCCAGGCUCGACGGCCGAGGGCGAGAAGAGCUCCGGUUCGAACCCGAAGGACGAGUUGUAGGGGGUUUACAUACGCCAUUGACAAGCACGAGGUGCUGCUGUCGAAAGCAGGAGGUGGAUAACAAAUAGCUAGGUAUCAACUCGGGGAGUAGAAUUCAAAGCACGGCAAGCUGGGGCGGAGUUAAGGGUGCGGCAGAAUAUAUAGCUAUGGCCAGCUGAGGGAUAGUGGAGGUCUGAAUCUGGAACAGCAAGACAGAAGCUGGCCCCGCACGCAGAGCGUCAUCACUGGUGGAUAACAUAAAACUUGAUCAGGGGUAAGAAAUCGAAAAUAUAAACAUCUACUCCCUCCGUUCCAAAAUAGAUAACUCAACUUUGUACGUAUUAACUUGGGAGUAUAUCUGAAUCUGCCCUUUAAGAGUUUAAUAAUAAUUUCUUGAUGCCCUGCUUGGCUGCAGCUACUCGAGAUCAUGGCGGAAUUGGGCCUGAGUUUUUUAUCCAAUUGCAAGUCCAACAUCAACUCGCAAUUGGAUCGAAUCCUUUUACUUGCCCGAGUUACAAGUCCAUCAUUGACAUGCAACUGGGCUCUUUGAUCAUUUUUUUUUCCAUGUUUGUAAGUCCAUCCUUUGACUCACAAUCGGGCCUGGAUUUUUUUGCCUAAGUUGCAGGUCCACCAUCGAAUCGUAAAUAGGGAUGGUUUUUUUUGCCUCUUAGGGCAUGUACAACUGCAUCUAAUCAGCCGUCUAUAACGUAUGCCACCUCACAAUUUUGAUUACGUGGAGGAGAGAGAGCUAGGAGAGAGGAGGGUGUCGUUAAUUUUGCAGACGGUGGAUAUCCCAACAAUCUUGCUACCAAUAGCCUCGUCCCCGUUGUAUUAAUUUGCGGUUUGCAUGCAGCAGUCUGCCCAUGUUCUGGCCAACAAGUACACGAGACGAUCGACGUGCUACAGAUAGCAAAAAAAGCAGACUAUUGUAGAUGAUGUUUUUACUGCUAUCCAUAGAUGCCGUGGACGAUCAUUACAGACUGCAAGUGUCUAAACUGAUGUACAUGCCCUUACGUGGCUAAAAACUACAAUUCAUUUUUUGAAUGUGGAAGUAUUUUGUUAUGCGUAGGACACACAGGAAAGAUGCCAUCACACAUGUACAUGUAUUAGUUGAUCCUUAGAUGAGCUUUGCAUGUGCAUGCAUGUCAAGGUAUGUACUGGAGUACAUGCAUAUAUGCACUGAGAAACUUAAAUGGUUCACCACACACUAAAAAAGUUUAGUUUGUUAAAGGAAAUGUUCAUCGCAUAUUAAAAUUAGUUCUUCCUACACUAAAAAGAUCAGAUUGUAUAAACAAAAUGCUUUGAAUGUUCGAACAUGUUUCUAUUAAAAAAAUGUUCAUGUUCUCAUUGAAAAGUUUAGGUUUUCAAAAAAAAAUGUUUUGGAAUUUCAAAAAAGAUCUUUCCAUUUCUGAAAUUUGUUCGUGUUUUUGGGGAAGUGUUUUUCAGCAAAUUUUCAGAAUUUUCAAAAAAUCGUUCACUUUUUGAAAUAAUCCAGAAUUUCAAAAAAUGUGUCGUAAAAAAUGUGCAGUACAAAUAGUGGUUCCCACUUUUCAAAAAUUAUUCAACAUUUUCAAAAUUAUUCACAAUUUUUCAAUAAAUGUUAAAAAAUGUUUCGGAUCUUACGCUGGUAUUAAACAUUCGCGUUUAUCAUUUGCCACUAACAGCCGAUAGUAACAUGCAGAGAACCAAUUCAACUAGCAACACUACAGCAGCAAACAGAACAAGUAACCAAUGCAAAGCACACCAAAAAUCAGAAUGCAAAUAAGAAUCGGGCAACACAAAUCGCAGGCAUAAAAAGCGUUCAUUCAUCAGCUGUAACGUCUUCUCCGCCAAAUAUAUAAACACGGAACUGCCGCAUCAUCUCGGUAAAACCCUCAAGCAUCCACAGACCAUCAGCCACCGCAAAGUUCACUACCGCUACUUACUACCAACACAUAAUAAAAAGCCAGGCAUGACAUCCCCCAUCCAACAAGCGUAUCGUCUCUGCGCGCUAGUAUCGCCAACCGACAACACACGCAUGUCUCUCGAUGCCAAAAAGACACUGCCAACACUUAACCAGAGUUUUUUUUGUCCUGCUGAUCGCAAAAACCGUCGGUCACGAGGGCCCAUGGGGCGAUCACCGGUUCCCGUUCAUCUUGGCCAUCAUCUUGGCUAUGAUGGGCCCCACCUUGGGGUUCGCCUGGUGCUUGGCCAAGUUGGCAGGGUUGCUCAUCACUGCACCAAACAGAGGGUCAGGUCACUGCAAAUGAAGUAAUGAACAAGAACACAGGCUGCAAAACAACCCUAAAGCAUCGGGCGUAUAAGCAGAGAUGCAAGAUGAUUCUGUCCUAAUAAUAACAUUCAUGCAUUUACUAUUUAUAAGAGAUUACAGUUCAUGUCAAGCAUUAUAACCAAGUUUAGAGAUUACAAUUCGUAUAAGCACUAUAUCCGAGUUUAAGAAUACUGCAAGGUUCAAAGAUUUAGUAUAGCUCGUAUAAAAUGGUGCCUCCCAUCUAAGUAUUUGAGCCAUGCAAACCUUGACCAGCAAGAAAGUACAGGACUAGAACAAUGUACACACAUAUCCCUAAAGCAGCAAAUACAUGGUGGUACAAGCAAACAGCUCUGUCCUAACAAUUAAAACCUCCAUGUCUUGACAGAAAAUUAGUCCGGCCUUCUCUAGACAUGGACGCAUACCAGGAAUGUCAGAACCAUGAGUACUAAGCUGAAUUAUUAGAAUAUAUCUACUGAUCUAGCAGCAUAACAACAAGGAUAUCAUGUCGAACGCAUAACAUAACAUAGUGGCCUCUAGUGAUAAAGAAAUGAUCUACGACACCAGAUUUCAGGAUUGAAAGUACAUCACUAACAUGCUUGCAUGUUCAGGAUAUUCAAUCAAACUAAUCCACACCUUCCAUAACUCACCAAAUAUGACCACUCUACUCUAGAUACAGACUAAAUACUUUGGAAAGAAAUAUGCUGCACCUAUGACCACUGCUAUUAUUAAGAGAAAAUCUAUGUUCAGUCCGCUGUUUUCCAGCACCAGGACUUGGCCAGGAAGAUCAAUUACAACAGGCAACUGUACUAUAAAGUAAAUGGGGAUUUGAGAACUAGUUGGGUAGAAAACUGUACCAUCUUGAAGGGCCGCCAUAACCUCUGGGUCACCAAAUGCUGCCAUCAGGUCAGGGUCCUGUUUCAAAGAGAAGAAAGAAGAACGUUGUGUAAAUCAGGUUUCUCCAGUAUCAAGAGUUAUGGUUACAAGGAAGGCAGACACUGGCCAAGCACUUACAUUCAAGAUGUCACCCAUAUCAACAUUACCAGGAGCACCUCCAGCUCCAGGCAUACCACCCCCCAUUCCAGGCAUACCGCCUCCCAUUCCUGCG
rnacentral:lncRNA from 1 species